rfam:Gossypium raimondii Chr13_contig_1158, whole genome shotgun sequence.
CAUGUCAGUGCGAGUUGCUGACAUGGCAACAAAUCGCGUCCUAGAGGGAGCGAUUUGUUGCCAUGUGAGCAACUCGCGCUGACGUGG